AACGCACAUUGCACCCCUAGGUAAUCCUUGGGGUAUAUCUGUUCGAGCGCCGUUUAUGUCCUAAGGCUUUGCCUUGCGUUAAUGUUGUUCUAAUAAGAACUCAUUGAAAAUUAUUGGCAUCAGCUUCUGAUCUGAUCUGCAGUGAAAUGUGGAAAGGAAAAAAAUGAUAGCCUAAUUCUGAAAGCAUGGCCUCGGAUUAGAUAGGGAUACCCGCUGAACUUAA
rnacentral:misc_RNA from 1 species